CCUCGGCGGGAUCUCUGCCCCGGGUGCGUCGCAGCCCCGGACCAAGGCGCCCGCCGGAGGACCAACCAAAACUCUUUUUGUAUACCCCCUCGCGGGUUUUUUAUAAUCUCAGCCUUCUCGGCGCCUCUCGUAGGCGUUUCGAAAAUGAAUCAAAACUUUCAACAACGGAUCUCUUGGUUCUGGCAUCGAUGAAGAACGCAGCGAAAUGCGAUAAGUAAUGUGAAUUGCAGAAUUCAGUGUAUCAUCGAAUCUUUGAACGCACAUUGCGCCCGCCAGUAUUCUGGCGGGCAUGCCUGUCCGAGCGUCAUUUCAACCCUCGAACCCCUCCGGGGGGUCGGCGUUGGGGAUCGGCCCUCCCUUAGCGGGUGGCCGUCUCCGAAAUACAGUGGCGGUCUCGCCGCAGCCUCUCCUGCGCAGUAGUUUGCACACUCGCAUCGGGAGCGCGGCGCGUCCACAGCCGUUAAACACCCAACUUCUGAAUGUUGACCUCGGAUCAGGUAGGAAUACCCGCUGAACUUAAGCAUAUCAAUAAGCGGAGG
rnacentral:rRNA from 1 species